GUGGAAUUCCUAAAAUCGGAUUUCAUUCCGACAUUCGUUCAGCUAGUACAAGACAGAAGGAACAGGCAAUUAUUCCGAUGAUUUUGGUUAUGGGACACAACAAGAAUUAUUUGCACAUGCACCAGUAAUGAAUUGUCGUGUUGCAUCAAUGUCCUGCCAGAAGUGUGUGACGCAGAUAUUCCCACCAAAAUGCGGUUGUUAACAAUUUUGUUGUCAGCUGCUGAUCCAGUGGCCCGUUCUAAUGUUACCAAAGCAUUACAGGAGAUCAAGUGAUUCUUAGACGCAAGCUUUGUGGAUUCACUGGUCCUACCCUAGACAAACAAAAUGGCGUUGCAGACAUUGAAGUUGAAGACUGUGCUGCGUGUUACAAAUGCCCCAACUACCCAUUUGUUCUAAAAAAGCCUGAGUAAAGAGAAAGGGUAAUUGAAAGAACUCACUCUGCGAUUGGACAAGAGAGAGUGUAAGUUCGAAGAUCUGACUCUGUGGAUGGACAACAAAGAUUGUGAGUUCAAGGAACUCACUCAGCUGAUGCAAGAAGUAGUUAAUACAGUAUC